AUGAACGUGCGCAUGGGGUUCGCUAGCCAGGACGUGCCGUUCAAUAUACCGCACUGCAUUGCCCGGCACAAGAACGAUGCACCGAAGCUGUCGGUGCGAGACCAGAGGCUCAACUGUCGCGCUGGGUCGACGCACAACGCAGAGCGGGAGAGGGCGUAUGAUAUUAUUGCUUCAAUGCUCAAAAUCCCAUUUUUGGGUGAAGUAUCACCUUCAGAGAACCAACCAUUACCUCCUAAGAUGGGACGUCUUGAUGGUCUUUCUUCACAGCAAAACAAAGAUGAUAGUAUACUCACAUGGACAGAUGUGAUGGAUAAAAGCAUCAAAACAUCCACGUCAAUUGAAAGGUCAGUAAACAGUGAUGCCGAUGAAGAUCCUUCACAAAGCACAUCCGAUGAUGGUAACAAGCCCAACUCUGAAGAAAACAAGUAUAAGGAAAUGAUAUUUGGAGAGGAUGCUUUGAAAAUCCCUCCUUCUGCACCAUACUAUUUGGGUCGCCCGAUCAGGAGAGGCCAUUUUAAUAUUUCUCAGAAUUAUUCAUUACAUCAGGUUUUAGAAGAUUUGCGCACUAUUUGGAACUGGAUGCUGACGGAGAAGUUGCAUAUCAACCCAAAGGACAGACAUCUAUAUUCUGCAAUUCUUGUUCUUGGGGAAACAUUUGACAACCGAGAAAUGAAGGAGAUGCUGUCCAUUGUACUUUGCGAUUUGGGGUUUAGCACGGCAGUGGUACAUCAGGAAGCUCUAGCUGCGGCAUUUGGGAAUGGUUUGUCGACAGCUUGUGUGGUCAACAUUGGUGCUCAAGUUACACAAGUAGUUUGUGUUGAGGAUGGAGUAGCUUUGCCCCACACAGCUUUGGCGCUUCCAUAUGGUGGAGAUGACAUAUCCAGAUGCCUACUUUGGGUUCAACAACGUCAUCGCACAUGGCCAAACUUCAAAACCGAUCCCAUGAAGAAGCCUAUAGAUAUGCUAAUGCUCAGCAAGAUAAAAGAGGGAUAUAGCCAGAUAAGAAGCGGGAGUUAUGAUGCUGUUUCUGUUGUUCAUUCAUAUGAGCAUGAAAAGUCUGUUGGGCAUCAGAAGACAAGGCUGUCAGCUCUCAGUGUUCCUCCUAUGGGGCUUCUUUAUCCCCGGCUUCUCAUUCCAGAAGAGUUCCCUCCACCUCCCCGACCUUGGUUCCAAGAUUGUGAUGACAUGCUGGAAGAUACUUGGCAAACAAACGAUGGUCUUUCUGGAAAUGGUGGGCUUGGUGCAUGGGACAGUUAUCAAAUGCUUCCCACUAGAGUAAAGAAGUUUGAUAAUAUCGGCCUCGUAGAAGCCAUUGUCAGCAGUGUUCUUUCAACAGGACGUGUUGACCUCCAAAGGAAGCUAUUCUGUAGUAUUCAGCUGGUUGGUGGCGCAGCUUCAACAACAGGUCUUGCACCAGUUCUCGAACAAAGGGUUCUUAAUACUAUUCCAUCGAAUCAACCUGUUGAGAAGGUUGAGGUAUUACAGUCAAGGAGGAAUCCAUUGUUUAUCCCAUGGAAAGGUGGAGUGAUUUUGGGCGUCCUUGAUACUACCCGUGAUGCUUGGAUCCAUAGAGAAGAUUGGAUUAAAAAUGGCAUUCACGUUGGGAGUGGCAGAAAAUAUAAGGAUUCCUAUUUUCUUCAGUCGCAGCUGAUGUGUUACUACAAUUCAUAA
rnacentral:rRNA from 1 species